ACUCCUACGGGAGGGCAGCAGUGGGAAUGAUUGCAACAAUGGGCGCAAGCCUGAUGCAGCCAUGCCGCGUGUGUGAAGAAGGCCUUCGGGUUGAUAAGCACUUUCAGUAAGGAGGAAAGGGUUAGUAGUUAAUACCUGCUAGCUGUGACUGUUACUUACAGAAGAAGCACCGGCUAACUCCGUGCCAGCAGCCGCGGUAAUACGGAGGGUGCGAGCGUUAAUCGGAAUUACUGGGCGUAAAGCGUACGCAGGCGGUUUGUUAAGCGAGAUGUGAAAGCCCGGCUCAG
rnacentral:rRNA from 1 species